UACAGAGGGGGCAAGCGUUAUUCGGAAUUAUUGGGCGUAAAGCGCGUGUAGGCGGCCCUGCAAGUCGGAUGUGAAAUCCCACGGCUCAACCGUGGAAGUGCAUUCGAAACUGCAGGGCUAGAGUCCUGGAGAGGAAGGUGGAAUGCUUGGUGUAGAGGUGAAAUUCGUAGAUAUCAAGCGGAACACCGGUGGCGAAGGCGGCCUUCUGGACAGUGACUGACGCUGAGACGCGAAAGCGUGGGGAGCAAACAGG
rnacentral:rRNA from 1 species